rnacentral:misc_RNA from 1 species
AGCAGCCGCGGUAAUUCCAGCUCCAAUAGCGUAUAUUAAAGUUGUUGCAGUUAAAAAGCUCGUAGUUGAAUUUCGAGACCGGUUUAUUGGUCGUGCUUUUGUACGUACUGGUAUUAUUGGUUUCUCCUUUCUGACGAAUCUUAAUGCCAUUAAUUUGGUGUUUUGGGGAAUCAGGACUGUUACUUUGAAAAAAUUAGAGUGUUUAAAGCAGGCUCACGCUUGAAUACAUUAGCAUGGAAUAACGGAAUAGGACGUUUGAUUCUAUUUUGUUGGUUUCUAGGAUCGACGUUAAUGAUUAAUAGGGAUAGUUGGGGGCAUUAGUAUUCAAUUGUCAGAGGUGAAAUUCUUGGAUUUAUUGAAGACUAACUACUGCGAAAGCAUUUGCCAAGGAUGUUUUCAUUAAUCAAGAACGAAAGUUAGGGGAUCGAAGACGAUCAGAUACCGUCGUAGUCUUAACCAUAAACUAUGCCGACUAGGGAUCGGAUGAUGUUAAUUUUUAAUGUACUCAUUCGGCGCCUUA